rnacentral:tRNA from 1 species
CCUGGUGGUUCAGAUGGUAAGAAAAUCUGCUUGCAAUACAGAAGACCCAGGUUUGAUCCCUGGGUCAGGA